UACGUAGGGGGCAAGCGUUUGUCCGGAAUCAUUGGGCGUAAAGAGCGCGUAGGCGGCCCUGUAAGUCCGCUGUGAAAGUCAAGGGCUCAACCCUUGAAUGCCGGUGGAUACUGCAGGGCUAGAGUCCGGAAGAGGCAAGUGGAAUUCCUGGUGUAGCGGUGAAAUGCGCAGAUAUCAGGAGGAACACCUAUUGCGAAGGCAGCUCGCUGGGACGUUACUGACGCUGAGACGCGAAAGCGUGGGGAGCAAACAGG
rnacentral:rRNA from 1 species